GCUGACGAGUGGCGAACGGGUGAGUAAUGUAUCGGAACGUACCAUUGAGUGGGGGAUAACGUAGCGAAAGUUACGCUAAUACCGCAUAUUCUCUCCGGAGGAAAGCAGGGGACCGCAAGGUCUUGCGCUCUUUGAGCGGCCGAUAUCAGAUUAGCUAGUUGGUGGGGUAAAAGCUCACCAAGGCGACGAUCUGUAGCGGGUCUGAGAGGAUGAUCCGCCACACUGGAACUGAGACACGGUCCAGACUCCUACGGGGGGCAGCAGUGGGGAAUUUUGGACAAUGGGGGCGACCCUGAUCCAGCCAUGCCGCGUGAGUGAAGAAGGCCUUCGGGUUGUAAAGCUCUUUCGGCCGGGAAGAAAUCGUAUCAGCUAAUACCUGGUGCGGAUGACGGUACCGGCAUAAGAAGCACCGGCUAACUACGUGCCAGCAGCCGCGGUAAUACGUAGGGUGCGAGCGUUAAUCGGAAUUACUGGGCGUAAAGCGUGCGCAGGCGGUUUUGUAAGACAGGCGUGAAAUCCCCGGGCUCAACCUGGGAACUGCGUUUGUGACUGCAAGGCUAGAGUACGGCAGAGGGGGGUGGAAUUCCACGUGUAGCAGUGAAAUGCGUAGAGAUGUGGAGGAACACCAAUGGCGAAGGCAGCCCCCUGGGUCGAUACUGACGCUCAUGCACGAAAGCGUGGGUAGCAAACAGGAUUAGAUACCCUGGUAGUCCACGCCCUAAACGAUGUCAACUAGGUGUUGGGAGGGUAAAACCUUUUAGUACCGGAGCUAACGCGUGAAGUUGACCCCUGGGGAGUACGGCCGCAAGGUUAAAACUCAAAGGAAUUGACGGGGACCCGCACAAGCGGUGGAUGAUGUGGAUUAAUUCGAUGCAACGCGAAAAACCUUACCUACCCUUGACAUGUCAGGAACUUUCCAGAGAUGGAUUGGUGCUCGAAAGAGAACCUGAACACAGGUGCUGCAUGGCUGUCGUCAGCUCGUGUCGUGAGAUGUUGGGUUAAGUCCCGCAACGAGCGCAACCCUUGUCGUUAAUUGCCAUCAUUUAGUUGGGCACUUUAGCGAGACUGCCGGUGACAAACCGGAGGAAGGUGGGGAUGACGUCAAGUCCUCAUGGCCCUUAUGGGUAGGGCUUCACACGUCAUACAAUGGUCGGUACAAAGGGUCGCCAAGCCGCGAGGUGGAGCUAAUCCCAGAAAGCCGAUCGUAGUCCGGAUUGCAGGCUGCAACUCGCCUGCAUGAAGUCGGAAUCGCUAGUAAUCGUGGAUCAGCAUGUCACGGUGAAUACGUUCCCGGGUCUUGUACACACCGCCCGUCACACCAUGGGAGCGGGUUCCGCCAGAAGUAGGUAGCCUAACCGCAAGGAGGGCGCUUACCACGGCGGGGUUCGUGACUGGGGUGAAGUCGGAACAAGGUA
rnacentral:rRNA from 1 species